GGUGACGCUUGAAAGUAUAGAAAUUCCUGAACAGAGAAAGGAUUGGCUGGACUUCGGCUAGGCAACAAAGGAAAAGAAAUCCUAUCAGAAAUCUAAAGGAGUUCGGCACUACAGAAACUAAAGAAAUAUUUAAAAAGUGGAAGAGAGCGAUGACAAAAGAUGGUAAUGGAAGUCAAAGCCGGCGUGGAAAGCUUCAUGGUAUAAACAGAAGCA
rnacentral:lncRNA from 1 species